GAUGAACGCUGGCGGCGUGCCUAAUACAUGCAAGUCGAGCGAACGGACGAGAAGCUUGCUUUUCUGAUGUUAGCGGCGGACGGGUGAGUAACACGUGGAUAACCUACCUAUAAGACUGGGAUAACUUCGGGAAACCGGAGCUAAUACCGGAUAAUAUUUUGAACCGCAUGGUUCAAAAGUGAAAGACGGUCUUGCUGUCACUUAUAGAUGGAUCCGUGCUGCAUUAGCUAGUUGGUAAGGUAACGGCUUACCAAGGCAACGAUGCAUAGCCGACCUGAGAGGGUGAUCGGCCACACUGGAACUGAGACACGGUCCAGACUCCUACGGGAGGCAGCAGUAGGGAAUCUUCCGCAAUGGGCGAAAGCCUGACGGAGCAACGCCGCGUGAGUGAUGAAGGUCUUCGGAUCGUAAAACUCUGUUAUUAGGGAAGAACAUAUGUGUAAGUAACUGUGCACAUCUUGACGGUACCUAAUCAGAAAGCCACGGCUAACUACGUGCCAGCAGCCGCGGUAAUACGUAGGUGGCAAGCGUUAUCCGGAAUUAUUGGGCGUAAAGCGCGCGUAGGCGGUUUUUUAAGUCUGAUGUGAAAGCCCACGGCUCAACCGUGGAGGGUCAUUGGAAACUGGAAAACUUGAGUGCAGAAGAGGAAAGUGGAAUUCCAUGUGUAGCGGUGAAAUGCGCAGAGAUGUGGAGGAACACCAGUGGCGAAGGCAACUUUCUGGUCUGUAACUGACGCUGAUGUGCGAAAGCGUGGGGAUCAAACAGGAUUAGAUACCCUGGUAGUCCACGCCGUAAACGAUGAGUGCUAAGUGUUAGGGGGUUUCCGCCCCUUAGUGCUGCAGCUAACGCAUUAAGCACUCCGCCUGGGGAGUACGACCGCAAGGUUGAAACUCAAAGGAAUUGACGGGGGCCCGCACAAGCGGUGGAGCAUGUGGUUUAAUUCGAAGCAACGCGAAGAACCUUACCAAAUCUUGACAUCCUUUGACAACUCUAGAGAUAGAGCCUUCCCCUUCGGGGGACAAAGUGACAGGUGGUGCAUGGUUGUCGUCAGCUCGUGCCGUGAGAUGUUGGGUUAAGUCCCGCAACGAGCGCAACCCUUAAGCUUAGUUGCCAUCAUUAAGUUGGGCACUCUAAGUUGACUGCCGGUGACAAACCGGAGGAAGGUGGGGAUGACGUCAAAUCAUCAUGCCCCUUAUGAUUUGGGCUACACACGUGCUACAAUGGACAAUACAAAGGGCAGCGAAACCGCGAGGUCAAGCAAAUCCCAUAAAGUUGUUCUCAGUUCGGAUUGUAGUCUGCAACUCGACUACAUGAAGCUGGAAUCGCUAGUAAUCGUAGAUCAGCAUGCUACGGUGAAUACGUUCCCGGGUCU
rnacentral:rRNA from 1 species